AUGGGUGUUCACCGUGCACGAGACCCUGUGCAUCCCCACUUCCAUGCUCGCCCUCCAAACCCCAGGACACCCCUGGGGGACUGCUUAAGAAGAGUGGGAAGUUGGGUGUUUUCAGCAAACGCUCUGGCUCUGAGCACAGGGAGCUGUUUGCGUGUCUUUGCUGCUGUGGAUGCUAGACGCUUAUGGUCAGAAAGCAGAAGCCUCUUGCCAGUUCCCUGUGGUCUGGUCCUUUCCUCUCCCUCCUCCCAGCUCCUCUGUUCAUCCAGCCCCUCACUGGGACUCCCCUCCCACCUUCUCCCCAGGGAUCAACAAUCUGUAGUACAGACAGCCCCCUCCCUGCCCAAGGCCCCCCCAGCCUGGGGGUCACCGUUGUCUGUGAACUUGUCUGUGACCCCUGCUCUCUCACGAGACACACCAUGGGACUGGAGGGUUCUGCUGCCUGAAGGGUGGGGCAUCCAGCAGAACAGAGUUGUAUGAGUUCUUUGUCCCUUGAAUAGAUUGAAGGUUAACCAGAUGGACUGUAGCCCGACAGGCUCCUCUGCCCUUGGAAUUCUCCAGGUGAGAAUACUGGAGUGGGUUGCCUUUACCUUCUCCAGGGAAUCUUCCCAACCCAGGGAUUGAACCCAGAUCUUCUGCACUGCAGGCAGAUUCUUUACCAUCUGAGUCACCUGGGAAGCUGCUCUUUUCAGAUACAUGGUUUACAAACAUUUCUCCCACGCGGUGGGUGCUGUUUCAUUUGGCUAACUGCUCCCUUUGCUGGGCAGAGCUUUUCAGUUUGAUGUAGCCCUUUUGUAUUUUCACUUUUGUUGUCCUGUGUGGUGUCAUGUCCAGAAAUCAUUGCCGAGACCCAUUUCCCCUAUGCUUUCCCUAUGUUUUCUUCUACAGUUUUGUGACUUCACGUCUUACAUUUAAGUCUUUAAUCCGUCUUGAGUUGAUUUUGCAUAUAGUGUAAGAUAAGGAUCUGACUUCAUUUCGCUUGUGGAUAUCCAGUUUUCCCAACAUCAUUUAAUGAAGAGGCUAUUCCUUCCCCAUUGUGUGUUCUUUCUACCCUUUUCAUAGGUUAGUUGACACGUAUACACAGAUAUAUAUCCAUACACACACUAUUUCUGAACUCUCUGCUCUGUUCCAUUGAUCUAUGUGUCUGUUUUUAUGCCAGUGUCAUACUGUUUUGAUUACUAUAACUUGUAAUAUUAUAUGCAGAACACAUCAUGAGAAACGCUGGGCUGGAAGAAGCACAAGCUGGAAUCAAGAUUGCCGGGAGAAAUAUCAAUCACCUCAGAUAUGCAGAUGACACCACCCGUAUGGCAGAAAGAGGAACUAAAAAGCCUCUUGAUGAAAGUGAAAGAGGAGAGUGAAAAAGUUGGCUUCAAGCUCAACAUUCAGAAAAUGAAGAUCAUGGCAUCUGGUCCCAUCACUUCAUGGGAAAUAGAUGGGGAAACAGUGGAAAUCCUACCAGUCCAUUCUAAAGGAGAUCAGUCCUGGGGGUUCUUUGGAAGGAAUGAUGCUGAAGCUGAAGCUCCAAUUCUUUGGCCACCUCAUGUGAAGAGUUGACUCAUUGGGAAAGACUCUGAUGCUGGGAGGGAUUGGGGGCAGGAGGAGAAGGGGACGACCGAGGAUGAGAUGGCUGGAUGGCAUCACGGACUCGAUGGACAUGAGUUUGAGUGGACUCAGGGAGUUGGUGAUGGACAGUGAGGCCUGGCAUGCUGCAGUUCAUGGGGUCGCGAAGAGUUGGACACGACUGAGCGACUGAACUGAACUGAACUGAACUGAGCGGGAACGUGAUUAACAAUUUAGAAUAACUGCAUACAGUGUGGGGUGGGGGGCAGUCAAGCAGAGCGACGUGGUAGCUGGAAGUAUAUACGUGUAUUUUUUUUCAUCCACCCAGUUAGUCUAUGUCAUUUGGUUGGUGCAUUUAAUCCAUUUACAUUUAAUUAUCGAUAUGUAUGAUCCUGUCACUGUUUUCCUAAUUGUUUGGGGUUCAUUUUCUGUAGGUCUUUUCCUUCUCUUGUGUUUUCUGUCUAGAGGAGUUCCUUUAGCAUUUGUUGUAAAGCUGGUUGGGUGGUGCUGAAUUCUCUUAACUUUUGUCUGGAAAGCUCUUGAUUUCUCCAUCAAAUCUGAAGGAGAGUCUUGCUGGGUGGAGUAUUCUUGGUAGUAGGCUGUUCCUUUUCAUUACUUUAAAUAUAUCAUGCCAUUUCCUUCUAGCUUAUAGAUUUUCUGUUGAGAAAUCAGCUGAUAGUCUGAUGGGAGUUCCCUUGUAUGCUAUUUGUCAUUUUUCCCUUGUUGCUUUUAAUAUUUUAUCUGUCUUUAAAUUUUGUCAGUUUGAUUACUAUGUUCUCAGCGUGUUGCUCAUUGGGUUUAUCCUUCCUGGGACUCUGCGUGCUUCCUGGACUUGUUUGACUAUUUCCUGUCCCAUGUUCAGGAAGUUUUCAGCUAUUAUCCCUUCAAAUAUACUCUCAGGUCCUCUCUCUCUCUCUCUCUCUCUCUGCUGUCCGGGACCCCCAUAAUGUGAAUGUUGGUGCACUUAAUGUUGUCCCAGAGGUCUCUUAGGCUGCCUUCAUUUCAUUAUUUAUUUUUUCUAUAUUGUGUUCCGUGGCAGUGAUUUCCACCAUUCUGUCCUCCAGGGCAUUCUUCUGUCCUUCUGCCUCAGUUACUCUGCUGCUGACCCUUCUAGUGUGUUAUUUAUCUGUUUGUUCUUUAGUUUUCUAGGCCUUUGGUAAACAUUUCUUGCAUCUCCUCAAUCUUUACCUCCAUUCUUUCCCCCGAGAUCCUGGAUCAUCUUCACUAUCAUUAUUCUGAGUGUUUUUUUUUUCUGGAAGGUUGCCUGUCAUCACUUCCUUUAGUUGUUUUUCUGGGGUUUUAUCUUGUCCCUUUCUCUGGGACAUAACUUUCUGCUUUUUUCAUCCCGAUUAACUUUUUGUAAAAUGGUUUUUGUUUUAGCCGCUGUGAGACUGUGCUUCUUCUUGCUGCUUCUGUUUGCCCUCUGACAGAUGAGGCUAAGAGGCUUGUGUAAACUUCUUGAUGGGGUGGACUGGUGAUGGGAAAACCUGGGUCUUGCUCUGGUGGGCAGGGCCUUGCUCAGCAGAGCUUUAAUCCAAUUAUCUGCUGACGGGCGAGAUUGCACUUCCUCCCUGUAGUUGUUUGGCCUGAGGUGGCCCAGUCCUAGCAUCUACAGGCUCUAUGGUAGGGUUAAUGGCAAACUCCAAGAGGGUUGACACCAAGGGGGACCUUCCAGUGCCCUCAUUCCUGGGGUGAGCCCUCGUCCACUCACACCUCCAGAGGAGGCCUCCAACACUGGCAGGCAGUUCUGGUUCGGUCUCCUGUGGGGUCGCUGCUCCUCUCCUCUGGGUCUUGGUGUGUGCAAAGUUUUGUUUGUGCCCUUCAGGACCAGAGUCUCUGUUUCUCUCAGUCCUCUGGAAGCCUAAUCAAGUUUUUUGGGCUCUCAAGGCCAUUCCCUGGGGAGUCCCAGUCCCUUUGUUGGAUCCCCAGGCUGAAAGCCUGAUGUGGGUUUCAGAACCUUCACAGUAGUGUGAGUAUUUCUUUAGAAUUAUUGUUCUCCAGUCUGUGGGUUACUCACCCAGAGGGUAUGGGAUUUGAUUCUAUCAUGAUUGCACCCAUCCUACUAGCUCUCCGUGGCUUCUUCUUUGUCUUUGAAUGUGGGGUAUCUUCUUUUCCAUCCUACCAGCUCUCCGCAGCUUCUUCUUUGUCUUUGAACGUGGGGUAUCUUCUUUUCCAUCCUACUAGCUCUCUGCGGCUUCUUCUUUGUCUUUGAACGUGGGGUAUCUUCUUUUUUUGGUGGGUUCUGGCAUCCUCCUGUCAAUGGCUGUUCAACAGCUGGUUGCAAUGUUGGUGCUCUUGCAGGAGGAGAUGGGCGUACGUCCUUUGACUCCACUGUCUUGAACUGGAAGCUCCUGUGUGUUGACUUUGUAUGCUGCAGCUUUGCUGAAUUCAAUUAUUUUUUCUAACAUUUUCUUUUUUUGGGGGGUGUAGAAUCUUUAGGGUUUUCUACAUUUAAGAUCAUGGCAUCUGUGAUGAAAGAUAAUUUUAUUUCUUCCUUUCAAAUUUGGGUGCCUUCUAUUUCUUUUCUUUGCCUAAUUACUUUGGCUAGCACUUCAUAUACCAUAUUAAAUGGAUGUAAGAUUCUUUAUUGACAGUUUUUCCUCCCGUUACUUUGAAUUUCCAUCUCACUGCCUCCUGGCCUCUAUUGUUUCUAGUGAGAAGUUAGUUGAUAACCUGACUGAGGUUUCCUUGUAUGUGGCACAUUCUUUUCUCUUGCUGUUUUCAACAUUUUCUCCUUACCUUUCAACAUUUUGACCAUAAGGUAUCUGAGUGCAUAUCUCUUCGUGCUUACCCUUCUUACACUUCAUCAGGCUUCUUGGAUGUGUAGAUUAAUAUUUUUCAUCAAAUUGGGGGAUCUUCAGCCAUUGCUUUUUUGAACAUUUUUUUCUGUACAUUUCUCUUUCUCCUCUCCUUCGAAUGUUCUUACUGGUAUAUGUAGGUAUGUUUAAUGGUUUCCCAUAUGACUCUGAACCCACUCCAGUUUUCUUGCCUGGAAAAUCUCAUGGACAGUGGAGCCUGGUGGGCUGCAGUCCACGGGGUCACAAAAGAUUCAGACACUACUUAGUGACUAGACAACAAUGAUGUUACUCAGAGGUUCUGUUCAUUUUUCUUUGUUCUUUUUUCAUCUUUUGUUCUUCAGACUUUACAGUCUCUGUUGGUCUGCCUUCAAGUGCUUUGAUUGUUUCUUCUAUGAGCUCAGGUCUACUACUGACACCUUGUAGUGGAAUUUUAAUUCUGGUUGUACUUUUUUACUUGAGAAUUUCUGUGUUUUUA
rnacentral:tRNA from 1 species